GAAGCCUUCCUCUAAUGGGUCGGGACGGGGAGGACUGCUGGAGGACCGCAGAGAAAUGAGCCUACUCCUCUGGGGCCCUGGGCAGACCUCCCAGUUCCUGUUCUAAAGGAGUCAACCUGGG
rnacentral:precursor_RNA from 8 species